GUAGGUGAACCUGCGGAAGGAUCAUUACUGAAGUGAUUUGGGGAUGUUGCUGGCCUCUUUCUUUUCGAGGGGGCAAUGUGCACUCCCUGAACAAUUCACAAUUUCCAUCACACCCCUUGUGCACAUCUUGUAGGAGCCCACUCACCUCUUUUGGUCGGGGCGUCCUAUGUAUUCCUUCAUCUCACACUUUAUCGAAUGGUGCCCUUGAACGCAUCUCAUGGAUUAUUUGUAAAAAAAGUAAUCACAGAAA
rnacentral:misc_RNA from 1 species